rnacentral:Y_RNA from 1 species
GGCUGGUCUGAGGACGGUGGUGCUUACAACUAAUUGAUCACAACCAAUUGGAGAUUUCUUUGUUCCUUCUUUGCUCCCACUGCUUCACUUGACUAUCCUAAA